AUGCUCGAUUUGGAGCACAUAUACUAAAACUGGACCGAUACGGAGGAGACUAGCAUGGCUCCUACUCAAGGAUGACAUGCAAAUUUGUGAAGUAUUCCAUGUGUUA
rnacentral:snRNA from 1 species